GGAUAUAGUUCAGUUGGUAGAAUGCUUGUCGUGCAUGCAUAAGGUCUUGGGUUCAAUCCCCAGCACCA
rnacentral:tRNA from 1 species